GUUCAGGAACACGAUGUGGGCAUCAGCCCCUUGCUGAUGGUUCGCCUGGAUCUAACCAAACGGACAAGCUCAAAUAUCAAAUGAAAAAUGAUGAGAGCAAGAUGAAGGUGGGAAUCUCUAUGAAUAUGUGGCACCCAUAUUGAUUUUUUUGUAUAACUCAUUUAAUAUAACAAUUUUCGAUAACAUUUUUUUUGUAGCAAGUUUUCAUUGUAACCCAGGAU
rnacentral:lncRNA from 1 species